UUUUCGGACAACUGAUGGGACUGCUUAGUGGCGGACGGGUGAGUAACGCGUGAGUAACCUGCCUUGGAGUGGGGAAUAACAGCUGGAAACAGCUGCUAAUACCGCAUAAUGCAGUUGGGUCGCAUGGCUCUGACUGCCAAAGAUUUAUCGCUCUGAGAUGGACUCGCGUCUGAUUAGCUAGUUGGCGGGGUAACGGCCCACCAAGGCGACGAUCAGUAGCCGGACUGAGAGGUUGGCCGGCCACAUUGGGACUGAGACACGGCCCAGACUCCUACGGGAGGCAGCAGUGGGGAAUAUUGGGCAAUGGGCGCAAGCCUGACCCAGCAACGCCGCGUGAAGGAAGAAGGCUUUCGGGUUGUAAACUUCUUUUCUCAGGGACGAAGAAAGUGACGGUACCUGAGGAAUAAGCCACGGCUAACUACGUGCCAGCAGCCGCGGUAAUACGUAGGUGGCAAGCGUUAUCCGGAUUUACUGGGUGUAAAGGGCGUGUAGGCGGGAAAGCAAGUCAGAUGUGAAAACCACGGGCUCAACCUGUGGCCUGCAUUUGGAACUGUUUUUCUUGAGUACUGGAGAGGCAGACGGAAUUCCUAGUGUAGCGGUGAAAUGCGUAGAUAUUAGGAGGAACACCAGUGGCGAAGGCGGUCUGCUGGACAGCAACU
rnacentral:rRNA from 1 species